rnacentral:lncRNA from 1 species
AUAUAUCUAGUCUUGCUUCACUUAUGUCAUAGCUCAGGCGACAUCAUAAUCGAUUGGUUAGAACACAAUGCUGCAAUCGGGGAGGGGCCAGUAUAUAAAAGGACUCACUCUCCAAGACAGCAUAGGCAUUGCAGAAGAGCUUGAGUGAAGACAUCAGAACAUACUUCUGUGGGGAGGUUCAUUUCAGAGAUUCAGCAUCCAUCCACCAGUUAGGUGAGCGAUUCCAGUUCACAUCAGUCAAAGCACAUAAGAAGAAGCAAGACUGGCUGCCAAGGGUUACAAGGGAAAAAAAGGCUAUCAAGAGAGAUGGAGACGUGAGAGAGACAGUGUCUCCUUCAGGUGACAUCCUGAUUAGUCCAUCAAUCACCCACAGACAACAAAGACCUGAUGUAGAAAUAAGCUUCCUCUGACAGCCUCUGAGAAACACAUCUGCUUCAUCAGACCCCUUUGACAACACGGACAAGAUUCUCAAAAACAAAAACAUCUACACAGGUGAAUCUCAUUCAAGUGAGCAUCUCAUUUGCAAGCAUCAUAGUGUGACUAGCAUUAGCCACCAACUUCCUGGAGAUUGUUCCUAGGACAGAAGCUACUGAGUCCAGGCCCAUAACUACUGGGCCAGGUUCUGUGGCUGGUAGCAUCCUAUAGAAUCAUUGUAGCUAAAUGAAAUCCAAAUGAUGGUAAUGCCUUACAUGUACAAAAUAUCUACAUAUUUAUACAAUGUUUUGUUCACUCUUUACAAGGUACUUUGUGAUUUUUAUCUCAUUUGAUCCUUGAAAUAACACUGGAAUCAUGAUUGCAGGUAAUAAGUCACCAUCUCAUAAAUGAGGAAAUUAUAAAAGGCAGAACAAAAUCAAGAACAAAGAGGAGCCGGGCACCUGUAAUCCUGACACUCAGGAGGCUGGGAUAGGAGGGUCACUUGAGGCCAGGAGUUCGAGGUCAGCCUGGGCAACAUAGCCAGACCCCUUCUUAAGAAAGAAAGGGAAAAACAACAACAACAAAGGUCCUGAAUUAAAGGGAGUUCUUGAGUGAGUUUAUAUCACUGUGUGAUUCUGGGAAAGUUAAAUUAUCUUUCUGAACUUGAGUUCAACCUUUGUAAAAUGGGCAUGAAAGAGUUCACUCCAAGGAUUGUGGUGAGAAUUAAAU